rnacentral:rRNA from 1 species
GUAGGUCCCGAGCGUUAUCCGGAUUUACUGGGCGUAAAGCGUGUUCAGGCGGUCUAGCAAGUCGGGCAUGAAAUCUCUCGGCUCAACCGGGAGGGGUUGUCCGAUACUGCUGGGCUUGAGGGCAGCAGAGGGUGGUGGAAUUCCGGGUGUAGUGGUGAAAUGCGUAGAUAUCCGGAGGAACACCAGUGGCGAAGGCGGCCACCUGGGCUGUACCUGACGCUCAAACACGAAAGCUAGGGGAGCGAACGGGAUUAGAAACCCCGGUAGUCCUAGCCGUAAACGAUGUUGACUAGGUGUCGACGGUCUAAACCCCGCCGGUGCCGGAGCUAACGCACGAAGUCAACCGCCUGGGGACUACGGCCGCAAGGUUA